UCUCAAGGGGAUAAAGCGAUAAGCACAUAGCUGUGCCAUUUGCGCACUGAGAUGUGCCAUGCGCUGCGCUGCUGACAGCUUCAUCUCCUCUCCCUUUAGACAUGAAACACAGACAUCAUUAUGGCGAGCGCCUGGUUCCUGGACUCCGCAGGGACAGGUAGUCCUGAUCUGACACAAGGCCAGGCGCUAAACAUCAGAUAUGUUUACCUCAUCACUUGUUGGAGGAACCUAGAACCGUUACUUUACUGGACUGCAGUACCCAUCACUCCUCAACUAGAUCGGGAAUCUGGGAGACGCAACUCAAAAAUGCAAUUUUCCAAACUCUGCCCUCUGUAUGGUUCUUUGCUCUGUCCUUUUCCUAACCCAUAAAACUGAUAUUCUCAGGCUUGAACUUCUCUUUGUGUUGUAUAUAUAUAUAUAUUAAAUAUCAUUUUUAUUGUAAGGUUUGUAAGAACUUUGAUACAGUUCUUGUUAUGACAAAGAUUGUCUUUUCUGGAUACAAUAAUGGCAAUUGAACACUAUAACACAGACAAUGUGAAAGAAAGAGGGUGUGAGGGACGUAAGAGAGGCAGUAGACAAGACAAAGUGGGAACAGGUAAAAAAAAACAAAAGAACAAGCAAAAAAAGAGGGGAAGGGGGGAAAAAAGAAAAGAAAACAAGCAAGUAGAAAUAUAUACAUAUAAACAGUUGCUAUAGUAUUCCUGUUACUUCCAGAGCCCGUGUUGUAUAUUUUGACAUUUUUCUCAUGCAGCCACAAUUUUUUCUCUCCCUCUAUGAACAUUGUUAUCUUCUAUGAACAUUUUCCCUUCACAGAAGGCUGCUUCCCCCCCCCCCCCCAUCCACUUAGCUAUAUAGACUAAAAAUAAUGGACCUUGAGUUUGGACCUCCAAGACUUCCUUGGUGGACACCAAGCUGUUCACAAUUUUCCAAGUUUAACUUGGGGAGUGGCAUGGCCCUUGGCAUCAUUUCUUAUUGCCCUCCCUGGCAUUUUCCCACUCCUAUUCUGGUAUUUCUUAAGGUCAGGGCUUCUUUCUUCCUUGCUUGAACUACUUCCCUGCUUCAUAUGCCCUCCAUAGCAGACACAGCUUCAUUCGUGCUCCCCUUUUAUAAUACAAAUUGUGGCUUUCUAAUUCAAGAAGCAUGGGAAGAUCUAAGAAGAAAGGAGAAUGGAAGAAGCAAUAGUAGAAGUGGUGGUAGCCCCACAUCUACAAAGAAAUGAGAGUAACCUCCCUACCAUUGCUUGGUACCCACUCUCCACUCAUUAUUUAGCUUUGGAUGGAGUCAUCAGUCAUUGGAUUGGAUUGACUUCAUAUGUUCUUAUAAACUGUUGUUUUAACUAGAUUUUUAAUCUAUUGUAUGAGGGUUAUAUCCAGAAAGUAGAUUACGUUUUGGAAUUAAAAAUGAAAGCCACACCCAAAUACCACUUCUCAACAUAGUCGCCAUUCAAAUCAAGGCACUUAUCAUAGCGAUGAAUAUGCUUGGCAACUCCUUCACCACAAAACUCUGCUGCUUGUGUCCUCAACCAGCUGGUCACCCCUUCCCGCAGCUGCGCAUCGUCACCAAAACGCUGCGUUGAGAACGCAAGCAGCAGAGUUUUGUGGGGAAGGAGUUGCCAAGCUCAUUCAUCGCAAUGAUAAGUGCCUAGAUUUGAAUGGUGACUAUGUUGAGAAGUGGUAUUUGGGUGUGGCUUUCAACUGCAUAUGGUAAAUGUUUUCUCCUAUAAUUAGUUCAUUUUGAAUUCCAAAACAUAAUCUACUUUCUGGAUAACUCUCAUAGAUUAAAACUGUUGCUCCGCAUUUCAAAGUCCUGUUUUUUUAAUGAUCAUCUGUGUGGUAUAUCUUUUCUCUGGCAAGACAGUAUGUGGACUGGUCAAACGUGAACUAUACAUGAUUUUCAUUUCAUCACAGGUUAUGGGCCCGGUCUCACAUCCAGUUCCACAUCUGCUUGUGCCAGUGCCACUGCCAGAGGUAUUUUGAAAAGACUGUAGUAAAAUGUUUGAAGCUGCAUUUCUUGUAAGAGGAACCAUAGAAGAUAGAGAUGAAUCUUGCAGCCUUCCCAAUGGCAAGAUUGAAUGCCAGUACUCUUUUUGGAGAUUGAGAAUGGAGAGCAAACUAAGGAGGGAAUCCUUAUGGGAAUGCACGGUGACUCCAAUCCUCAUUGUGUGGAUGAUGAAUAGUUGAUCCAAAUAAGCAGCCUGGCUGUAGCCCAUGAAAUUUGGGUGAGGCUGAGAAUUGGUUUAAAAGUAUUAUUAUUAUUAUUAUUAUUAUUAUUAUUAUUAUUAUUAUUAUUAUUAGCUUGGACUCGGCUUCCUUUCUAGCUUGCAGUGGACCAGAUGGAGCUGGGAUAUACUUCUCAAAUUACUUUCUGUGAUUUACUGGUCUGUAAUCCAACGGCGGCUUGGAUUUACUCCUGUCUGCCUCUUUAAAAACACUUUACAUCUGACGAUUAAGUCUAUCCGACUUCUGAGGUACUCAGCACUUGAGAUCUUAAAGUGAUGUGUUCAUUUCGUCUUGUAGUUAGCAGCAGCUCUACUCAUAAAAUUAAACUAUCCAUUGGGCUUUAUCUCAUUAAAACUCAUUUGGGUGUUCAAAAAGACGUCCCCCAACCCAAGUU
ensembl:lncRNA